rnacentral:rRNA from 1 species
GAUUUCUGGCUGUGGUUAAAAUGUCCGCGUUCCAACGGGAUGUGAGUUUACGUUUUGACCCGGUCAAAAUUUCUGGAAUUCCGCAAUGCUCUUUAUUGAGUUGUUGCGUGAGAUCCAGAUCGUUUACUUUGAGAAAAUUAGAGUGUUCAAGGCAGGCAUUUUUGCCGUGAAUAUGCUAGCAUGGAAUAAUAAGAUAGGGCUUUGGUCGUAUUUUGUUGGUUUCUACAGCCGAAGUAAUGAUUGAUAGGGAUAGUUGGGGGUGCUAGUAUUCUGCGGCCAGAGGUGAAAUUCUGUGAUUCGCGGAGGACUGACUUAUGCGAAAGCAUU